GGUCCUUUACGCUUCCUCGGCGCCGGCGGACACGUCAGUAUCGCCGGGAUCUUGUGCUCCGCUGCCGUCGGCGUGCGGCACCCGCCGUCUUCGUCGUCGUCCUCGGCGGGUUUCCUCGGCCGUCGGAUCGCGAGGUCGUUGAUGGAUUUCAGAAUUCGGAUCUUCGGGAAAUCCUGCGAGAAAUCGAGAUCCGCGGACAUCUUCGUCGAUUGAUCUCACCUGGAUUGUUUUGUAGACGAGGGAGGAAUCGGGUUUAUAGAUCGAUGAAGAAGGGGGAGGAGAAAAAAGAGAAGACCGAGGCGUACAAGGCAAGGUAACCGAAAGAGCUCAAGAUAAAGGAAAAACAAAUGGAUCGAUUUGGAAGAACAAUAAUUAACAAAGGCUUUAUGUUGAAGCUUUUCGAA